GACGAACGCUGGCGGCGUGCUUAACACAUGCAAGUCGAACGAAGAGCGAUGGAAGCUUGCUUCUAUCAAUCUUAGUGGCGAACGGGUGAGUAACGCGUAAUCAACCUGCCCUUCAGAGGGGGACAACAGUUGGAAACGACUGCUAAUACCGCAUACGAUCUAACCUCGGCAUCGAGGAUGGAUGAAAGGUGGCCUCUAUUUAUAAGCUAUCACUGAAGGAGGGGAUUGCGUCUGAUUAGCUAGUUGGAGGGGUAACGGCCCACCAAGGCGAUGAUCAGUAGCCGGUCUGAGAGGAUGAACGGCCACAUUGGGACUGAGACACGGCCCAGACUCCUACGGGAGGCAGCAGUGGGGAAUCUUCCGCAAUGGACGAAAGUCUGACGGAGCAACGCCGCGUGAGUGAUGACGGCCUUCGGGUUGUAAAGCUCUGUUAAUCGGGACGAAAGGCCUUCUUGCGAAUAGUUAGAAGGAUUGACGGUACCGGAAUAGAAAGCCACGGCGAACUACGU
rnacentral:rRNA from 1 species